AAGGACUGAAAAGAAAAAAUAGCCAAACAAGAGUCAUUUUAAAUGGUUAAAGACUAUGCCUUUUUUUUUUUUUUGUCUGUGCAAGUUUACCUGGAAGAUCAGCAGAGUAUGUGAGAUUCAGGGGUCUCUCUUCAGUAAACAUAAACAUUAAUUUUUUACACUAAUCAAGCAUCUGCUUAAAGUAAUACCAAAUAUUCUUUAGCUUUUAAUUCUUAAAAUCUUUUAUAAUUAUCGAUACUAAACUGCUGAUUUUAAGUUCUUUGUAACAACCUUUUACCCGUGUUGUUGUGACUUCUACUCUCAAGUUCUUUUGCUUUCGUGUUCUUACACUUCUGUGAGUUUCUCUUUCAUUUCUGACAGUUUUUCUCAUGCUUAUCAAUUGCGACUACUUGCUUGAUAAUUGUUCACACUUGGUUUCUACAUUUUCUUGCUUUAUAAUUGUUCAUUAUUUACUUUUGAUAUACACUUUACACCAUCUUUUGUUUGCCUACACGAUGUAAAACUGGUCACUGUUUGUACAUGAAAUGUGUUGCUUUCUUUAAGGCCACAAUCUUUCUAUUAUCCAUAAUUCACGCUCUAUACACAUUGCUAUCAUAUUAGGACUUAUAAUUAGUUUAAACUUACAUUUAAAUUUUGGUUUUGUUUCCUUUUCAUUUGGUCUUCUUACCUCUUUAUUUUUUUGACUCUUCUUAUUAGAAUAUCACUGCCCGUGAAACUAUGUUUAAUAAAGCAUAUGUGUGAUACUACUUGAAGCUUAAAUUUUUUUUGCCCCACCUUUGUGUGUGAUAAAAAAUCUCUUUAGACAAGAAUUGGGUUUUGUUAGGUAUUUAGGUAAAAAACUAUUUGAGCCACAAGUGUGGUGAAUUUCUUGAAAGAAAUUACUUUUCGAUCAAACUUCUAGAGUCUUCUUUCAAAGCUUGAGGUUUGUUAGAUUGUGAUUUUAUGGCUAUACAGUUUGUGGAUUCAAGAGUAGUAUACUCUGUUUGACAGAGAACUUUUGAUCCUUAUGGUCCCUCCAUGUCGAGGGGUUAAGACUGAUCCAAGAAAACCUCUACGCACAUAUGCCUAACUUCAUAACUAUUGUUCAUCCAAAAAAUUCUUCUGAUUUGUUACCCCUUAAUAAAGUCUGAUCGUUACUCAGAAACGUCCCAAAUGGAUCAAAAUUCAUAUCACUCUGCUCUGCAAUGCUAAGGUCGAAUUCUGACCACUAAAUAUUGUUGUUGCUUGAAAUCCAGACAAAUCAUGUGUUGAUAAGAACAUGUUUGCAGCUGUGUAAGUACCCAUUUUGGCGUUGCGGGCUGUUCUGUUGAUGUGUCUUGUUAAAAUGGAUUGUAAUGGUUAGUUGGUUCCAUUACUCGUAUUUGAUUACAGUUAUUCAUAUUAGAAAUUGAUUUUAGGCCACUAUUUGAAAACAAUGUCAAUGAAUUCUGAUUAUACAAUUCUUCCAAGUAGGAAGAACUGAAGUUGCUUACAUUGUUAGAAGUAGUAGGCGAUGCUUUUGUUUGUAGGGUUGCUUCGAAAAAAAUAACAUAUUCCAACCACUAUUUGGAUUGUUUCUUAAUAUUGUUCCGGUUUUUGAUUUUCUUGAAAGGCAUUGAAAGAUGGCAAUGGCGAUGACAAUGUGAAAGUGUCGUAGCUGCUAAUGUUGUUAGCAGCAGUAUUAGGCAUGAGUUGUACUGAUUUUGUUUGUGGGGUUGCUUAGAAUUCCAAAUACCAACCAUUUCUUGAAGAAGCCUUACAGGUAAUAUAAUACAUUCGUUCCAUUUCACACCUCUUUUGGUUCUUGUUGUUCUGAAAAGGCGUAAAAAAUGUUGAUGAUCGUUAAAGCCUUAUUUAGUACAACUUCCCAUCUUUUUGGCUGAACUUGAAUCCAGUGUGGGCUUUUGUUUCUCCUUGAUCUAUUCUUUUUUAGUUUCUUUAUAGUUCAGUUCUUUUGCUUUCUCUGCAGCAGGUUGUUACUUCUGAUCUGACUAUCCUGUCUUUUGCUCUCUGUUGUGGUUUGUAUAUUUCUACAUUUGUAUAGUUUUCAGGGUGUGGUAAGUUUUGCUCUUCUACGAUUUUUUCUUAUAAAUUACUUAUGUGUACAUAUUGUAGUUUUACCUAAUUUUUUGUUUGUGACAAGUGACUACAUAUAAGCAUAUAUACACAUUAAUCAAUUUUGCACUCAAUUCAAACUUUCGUAUUCUUUUCAUGCCUUAUUCCUUAAUCCUUAGAAAAUAUCUAGUACAAAAAAUAGAAAAGUUGCAUAGAUGUCUUGUAGGAAUCAUAAAUGAUUAAGAUUGGAAAAAAAACAUGCUAAUAAAAGGGCUAGAAAAUGCGGAUUAUAUAGACUAUUGCCACCUGACAAGAAAAAUCUCCUUAAAUGUGACAAUGAGCAAACAUAGUUGAAUUAAGGUUUUUUCUGUGACAGUGAAACAGAAUUGGGGAUUUUUUAUAAAGAAGAACAAUUAGUAUCUAUGGUUUGAUUCGGAGGGAUAAUAUGUAUCUCUGCAGGAGAACAAUUAUGUUCCAUGUCUCGAAGAACUGGUUGUACGAUAUGGAAGAUUAGCAAAGGAUUAAAUUAGCAUUCUGACUAUAUUGUCAUUUUUAAAUAUUUCACCUAUUAACAUACAAGUUCUCUCAUGUGUCUAUAAGCUUAAGCCUUUGGGUGUUUUUUCAUUACCGUGGCUCUGAAAAUCCACCAUGUAGUUGUAGAAACUCCACGACUUCUUCAGUUUUUAUUCAAUCUUUUAUCUUAAAUUUUCUUUUGUUUUCCUUAAUCUUCUUAGGUGAUGGUAUAUUUUCAGAUUAGCUUCUCUUGAUGUAUUUAUCAAAGCUAUAUGAUCCUGUUUUUCUGAAACGACUUAUGUAAUCUUCUCAAUAUUUUUCGCUUUGUUUUGUUUCACCUUCGUUGUUUCAGUACUGCUAUCAUAUUAUCUCCAUCAACAAUACAACAAAGCGGAAAUAUACUUGAUAGUUUUCUGUUUAAGAAUAAAUAGUUGAUCACCUACACUGAAAAUAGCAAUAGCAAUAGCAAAUGCAUUUGCUGAUAGAAUAGAUUGAUACAAAAUUUAUAUAUGUAAACCGUUAAUUCGCUCGUAUGUUUAUAUCUUGGGUUGAAAUAACUUUGUGGCAUUUAAGUCUUUCUAAUAUGAAGGGAGGAUAUCACAAAUCAAAUACAUGCAUUAUAAUCUUUUGUUACAGUUGACAGAUAUAAUUUUUAUCGCAAAUUAUAGUGUGAAGUCUUAUUCACACACUCUUUUUUCUCUAAUUUCAAUUACUACAUCAUUAUUGAGCUCACUAACUAUUAUAAUUGAACCAGUAAGAUUUGUAUGAGAGGUGAAAUUGAUAUGAUGCACGAUGUCGUUAUAGAGGUUGUAUAAGUGUUUAUAUUGAUCUUAAGCUCGAUUUAUUUGUAGAUUUCAUUGGAUACAUAAAAUUUAUUGAACAUCAUUGUAAUUAUUUCUUGUCACAAUGUCGUCGUUGCCGUGGAUCUUCUAUUUGAAGCUCAAAUUUGAUUCUGAUUUACUUUUCAAUUUGAUUAUUCUUAAAUUUUCUUUUCCCCCAAGCUAAUGUUAUAUUCUUUGUUGCUUGCAGUCUUCUAUUUGCAGGUUACUUUGUCACGAGAAAAAAAUCAACUACUUCCUCCUCAGAGGUCUUCAUCACAUGUAUUGGAUGUCUCAAAAUAUUCAUUUCAAAGUAAGUUACACAUUAAUCAUCUUAUCUUAAAUAUGAUUGCAUAUUAUAACAUAUUUGGUCAUCCAUGAUUCCCUGGCUUGCAGCAAAAUGUGAACUUCUCUCUCUCUCUCUCUGUAAAACAAUAGUUAUUAUAGUAAUGGUUGCUCUAGCCGAAACAAAAGGUUGCAUCACAUACCCCGACAUUUUCAGAUCCAUCUUAUCCACCUGGUAAUUGUAAAUAUCAUUUUUGUACUUCUACUUUGUUGGCCUCUAAACACAACAUUUUUCUUUGGUCUCCCUUUUUCUACUUCUUUUCUCUUUCCAAAUUUCAACUUUGCAUAUGCUGAUAUGUCUCCCUUUUUAAUUCUAUUUUUCUGAUCAUUUUUCUGUCAACCUUCAGUUAUUCUAUGCCAAACAUAUAGAUAUUAAGAAGAUUUUAAAAAUAAAAUAAAAAUAAUAGAUAUUUUAUUUGACACAGGAAUUGUAUCUAUAAGAAUCACAUGUAUCCAUCUUUCUAUGGUUUUAUGUAGACUUGCUUAGACAUUCUUAUAUUUCAGGAAGGAAAAACAUAGAAUGUUGUAGUUGUAAAUAUAAUUCUCCUUCUCGCUGCUAGAACAUACAAUAAUUCUUCUAUGAAUCUGUCUGCAAUGCAUUAAAGAUGUAACUGCUAUGACAAGCUCUCAGUAAGUGCAAUUAAUUCUUAAAAUUAAGUUAUAAAUUGUCUAAAUCUUCUUUAUAUCCUUCAUUCUAAGUAGCAUUAAAUUUUUAUAUCUACUCAUCCAUCUUGCUAAAGUGACUAUUUAAAUUUAUAAUCUAAUAUGCCUGAAAUAAUAAAUAUUGUUCAUUUAGUUGGGACUGAUAUAGCAUAAUUUUUAAAUUAUUGUUUAGGGAUGAGACCAAAAAAUGUGCUGAUGGUUUGCAUAGUAUUCUGUUUUAUAUGUUUCUAUAGCUCAAGUAGAAACUAUUGAUGGAUUGUAGGAGGAUAUCUGAUGCGAAGAGGAUUGGAGGAAGAGUCUAAAGCAAGAUACAAAUUUAUGCAAGCAUUUGUGGAAAAAAAAAAUACUUCAUGUAUUCUAUUUUAAUCUCCGAAGCUCUCGAUUCAAAAUGACUGAUUGACAGAGUUUGUAGAUGGUCUGAAUUUUUUUAUGAGCAAUGAUGGGAACAUAAAUGUCUAGUCUAUAUAAACAUAAAUGUUAGAUAUCUUGAUAGAAUUUUGUGAUUUUUAUAUGCAUAUAAAUUUUAAUUACUCUAUGUUUAUAUAAAAAAAAUAUGGAGAGAAAUUUUAAUCAGAUGAUUAUAAGAGGGAUGUUUUCAGGAAAUUUUAUAAAUUGAAGUUUUAGAUGGCAUGAGGGACACAUUGUGAUGUUUUUAGUUAGUUGAAAAAAUUGGUUAUUUUUGUGGAAAGUGAAAAAUGUAUGGCGUUCCACAUUUGUUUCUUCACAACUACUACAUAUUGUGUUCCUCUUUUGUAUAAAUAGGCGUGGAUACAUUCUUUUUAAAAAUUUCAGAUGCUUUUAUUAUCAAGUUAUAUGUGCACUAGACCUUUCAAGCACCAAAGUCAUCUCGCUAUUUAGAGGUCUAUGAGAGCUUUAUUUUGUCCAUGUGAAUUCUUGUUGAUUUGUAAUUUUUUUACCAUUUUUUGUUUUAGAAGGAUGGCAUCUUUUUUAGCCAAUUCAGGGAAUAAAAACACAUUUUAUUCAAAUUAAGCCAUCCAUCUAUUAGAUUAUCUGAAUAUAUAUGUUAUUUAAUUUCGUCGUUUGAGACAAACAAAUGAAGAAUAUGUGGACUUCCAUUAUUGGGGGGUGCUUUGCACGGCAUACUUAUCUAGUAAAAUACAUAUAUCUAAUAUCAAAAUACUCUAUCUACUUCUACUUCUACUACUAUAUAUAUAAUAAGUGGCAAUAACCACACAGCAGGUCAACAUGUCAGCUUAGAGUCUUUAAAAAUAAUUUUGAGUGCAAUAUGGUUAUUCUUUGUUACUUUUUGUGCAUUGUUUUGCUUGAGAAGGGGAUUCUUUGUCUUUUUGGAGCUUCAAAUGACAAAACUAUCCUGAACUUCUACUCAAUGUCACAUAACUCCCACCUUUUGCAAUAUGAUCCCUAAAAGGCAUUUUGGUAAAUUUGCUAAAAAUAUUGUUGGCCAAAAACUGAUCUCAUCGUACUCUCUAUAAUCUUUUUGCACACUUGGAUCAAUUUGCCCAUAUCAUCAUUCAUCAUUAUGUAUUCUAACCAUUCCAACUGAAAAAAAUACUUAACAAUGUUAGAAUCGUUAGCUUAACUGUUUCAAUUUAUACUAUUCACUUUUUUUUUAGUCGGUCUUCAUAAGAUUGUUAUAUUUCUAUAUUUGGUAAUAAUUUAAUUUUAAAAUGCCCAUUUUCUUCAUAAUGAAAUGAUUUAUAGUCACAUAAAUAUUUAUAACUUAUUUUAGACUAUAAGUUUCAUAAAUUUUUAUUUUUGUUUAAACUUCAUAUCAAAUCAAACUACAUUACAUAAAUUGGGGGUUAGAAGCAGACACCCCCUUCUCGACAUAUCUGCUUCUAGCUGAGUUGUUUUUAUGAAAUUUAUGUGCUUUUCUUCAUUUUAAUUUGUAUGUUUUACUUUUCUUUUUAGUUUGCUAUAUAUUUGAAAAUUACUGUUGACACCUAAUUUUGGCCUAACAUUUUCAAAAUUCGUAACUUUUAAGUUUUAUUUAUUUAAUAGUUCAAAAUAAAUUUUUUAAUAAGUUUAUCGAUAACUAUCCUUAUUUAGCAUUUUUUAUCAGUUAAUUUUAAAAUUGCAUUUUUACAUGUCAUUAGUUACGUUAAUUAUACCUUUUUUAAUAUUCAUUUUAUUUGUUACAUUUAUUAAUAUUCAUUCUGAUAUUUUACACAAUCUAAAAAUUAAUUCAAAUACAAAUAUUUUAUUUGAUCGAUAAUUUUGAGCCACAAUUCCAAGCCCAUAAAUUGAACCCAUUUAACAAUUAUUUCCUAUAUAAUGUUUGGUUAGGUUAAAAAAUAAGUGAGGGUGAAUUAUUUUUUAGGAGGGACGAAUUUCCAAAAGGGAAAACCCUAAUUUUUUACUCUCCCAUUUUUUCUCCCUCAGCCUCCACCACCCAAAGACCCCAAAACAAGCCAUCUCCAUACCAUUUUUUUUUUUUUUUUUUGUAAUCAAAACCCCAAUGAUUUUUCUUCCAUUCUCACUGACUAGUGAAGUAUCAACGCCAAACAACCCCUUUUUCCCUUUCCAUUUUCCGGCGAACCAUACCGAAAACCCCUUUUCAUUAUCCUCACGUUGAGCUCCAAGCUCCAAUCUCUCCGGCGAACUACCGAUUUUUAGUGAGCCACCAAACGAACCAGACCACUAACAGCCUCAACGGUUAGCUCAAGCUCCCUGGCGAGAUAGAAACCAUACCACCAACAAGCACCACCUCAAAGGAGCGGCUCCGGCUUCGGUAAACAACAAUCAGAAGUUUCAAACUCCGAGAUCGGUAACUUUUAUUACUUUGUUUCUUGUUAUUAAGGUCUGUCUUUACUGUUUUAGUGUUCAUGAAUGAUGUUUGCAUCCAUUAUUUUGUUUAGUUUAUUUUGACUAUUGUGAUUAGCUAUUCUUAAUUAGUUUGUUUAUCUGUGGCUAAUAUUCUUGAUUAGUUUGUUUAUUUGUGACUAAUACUAAAGUUAUUAUUAAUUAAUGAUAGUUUGUUUUCUCCCAAUUUCUUAAAAUGACACAGUGAUGAUUUUUAAUUGUUAAUUAAAUAUAAGAGUGUUGGUUAGUGUGAUUUUCUUUAAGUUGUUGAUUUAUUUUACCGAUAUUAUCAUGCAUUUGCUUUUCUUUCUUUUUUUGUUAUUAUUAUUAUUUUUUAUUAUUAUUAUUAUUGUUAUUAUUAUUAGUAGUAGUAUAUUGUUUAUAUUGAAUUAUAUAUGUACAUUGGGUUGCGAUUGUUUUACAUUUAAAAUUGAUUUUGUGAUAUCCUAAGUUUUAAAGGUUAUUAUUAUUUGGUAUUUUAGUUUCUAAAUUUGUUAUAUGCUUGUUGGGUGGGUUUAACUUUGUUUAUGAGGUUGUAGUAUUUUCCAUUGAAAGUUCAUCUUCUCCGUAAUAUUUCAUUAUGUAUGCUCACUAUUUGUCUCAUUAGUUUAUUUAUUCACCGUUAUUUCAUUUUUAUUUAUGUUUGGCUACUGUUAAUUUGGUUAGAGUGGAUGUCACACAUUUUUAUUUUUAUAAGAAUUCUCAGUGAGUUAUAUUGUUAAUGUUUGGUCAUUGUUUCUACUUUAUGUUAUCUUUUUUUUAUUUUUUUAUUUUGUUUCUAUUAGUUUUUUUUUAUUGGAUUUUGUAUUUAAAAAUGUUAAGUUAAUUGGCCAAUGAAAAAUCUCUCCGUCGGUUUUGGAGGCCUCCACAUUCCAAAAGACGAAAAUUUAGUUUAAGUUCAUAUAUUUUGUUUGUUCAAAAUGGUCGAUGAAGAAAUUACCGUCGAUUUCCAAGGCAUCCUAUGUUAAUAAGACGGGUUUUUAUUUUUAAGUUAUUAUUUGAUUCAUUUAUUUUUUAUUCAUAUAUAUUUAGUACUAACACUUUUACUAAGUGUCUUUACAGAUACCCCGAAGUCGGUUGUUACCGAAAUCAUUCGAAUAAAGUUCGAAUACUAUAUUAAUUAUUAUGUAUUUUGUUGACGAUAGACAAAUAUUAGGUCGUUUCUCAUAUUACUUGUUUACUUUAUUACUUGUGUAUAUUGCAUGUUUAUUAUAUUUGUACAUUAUUUUAUUCUCCUUCUCAAUUUGAAAAGAUGAAUUCAGUCGGGACCCACAGUUGUGGAUUUCGAAGGAUGCCUAACACCUUCCCUUCGAUAUAACUUGAACCCCUUACCUAGAAUCUUGGUUUCGUAGAUCACUUAAUGACUUCCUAGUUUUUUCCUAAAAUUAGGUGGCGACUCCUUUAAAAUUCGUUUAUUCUUAAAAUUCUUUCAAAAUUGAAUCAACUAAUUAUUUUUUGAGUCACCGCGACGUUUCGCCCUAUUUGAAUAGAGUAGGGAUGUAAACAAUUACGUAAAAAAAAUACUAUAACUAACAACUUAAAAUAUUUUAAAGAUAUAUAAAAUAAAAAAAGAUUGACUCUCAAAAUUCUAUUGAUACAACAUAAAUUGGAAUGGAGGAAAUAACAUUUAUACUAGUAUUUUAAGAUAUUGUAAAAAGUACUACUAUAAAUCACAAUAAUUAACAAUUUUAAAUAUUUAAAAAAAGUAGUUAUCUCUUAAAAUUCAAUCAGACCUGCCUGUCAUCAAGGGUAUAUUCAUCAUUCUUGUUAAUUUUAGGUUGCACUUGUUCCCAAUCUGCCACAUUAGCAGCUUGCUGUAGCCUUUUAAGCUAUUUCAGCUUUAAGAACGAUUUGUUCUUCCUAAAUUCUUGAUUUCCUUCUUCGAUUUUCCCUUCUCAGUCCCCUUUUUCCGUCUGGCUUGCAGUUGGAGCUUCCUGUUUCAGUCGACCGAUCUGAUUUACAAUUUGUGAGGUUCGAUAUUACUUCUCCUUCGAAUUUAAUUUCUGCUUUCCUUUCCGUGAUACUUGAUGAAAUUUACGUUCACAAACAUUUUGGGUACAUAGUUUUGACCUUAUGAAAAGGAAGUGAUAGAAAAUAUUUCUCAUAUACUACGAGGGUUCUAAACCAACCCAAUAUAGCUUAUAUCAGCUUCACGUACCCAGAGGAAGUCGGCGGCGGUUCCCUUUAUCGACUCCGGCGACGGCGAAAAACCAUCUCUGAUGGUAAUGAUGGGUAAGAAAUCAUCGAGGAAGAAUGGAGUUGGUAAAACACCUGGUUCAAUUACAUUAAGAGAAGAAUCAGGUGUGAAGAAGAAACAAAUUCAUGUUAAUGCGAAAUCGAUGCUGAAAUUGGAGCAUAUAAAGGAUAUUGCUACCUGGGCUAGUGGCGAAGGUUACAUACCUUCACUUGGUGCGUUUUUUGGGCAGAGAUUAGCUGUAUCAAUUGAGUCUUUGGGUGUUCCACCUGACCCUUCAUUAUUUACAUGUCAAAGGUUUGAGCUUUUUAUAAACUUUUUAUUUGAUUUGUCUUGCAUUUAUGAAUACAUACUUUGUUAAUUUUGUGAUGGGUUGAAAAAUGGAUAUUUGUUCAUUAAUGGAUGUAGGGGUAUAGUAAGAGAGAUAGGAUUAGAGAUUAGUAUAUUCGGGAUAAGGUAGGAAUGGUUUUGGUGGAGGACAAGAUGCGGGAAGCUAUACUGAGAUGGUUCAGGCAUGGAGAUGCAGAUGCACAAAUGUGUGAAGGUGUGAGAGGUUGACUAUGGUUAGUUUUAGGAGAGGUGAUUAGAUCAGAUAUGACGUAGUUUUUAGCUUAUUGAGAGCAUGACCUUAGAUUGGAGCUUGUGGAGGACACAAAUUAAUGUAGGAGGUUAUAGAACAUUACUAGGUAGUAAUGUGUUGUAUUGCUAUCCGUCCAUACAAGUAGUUGUAAUUUCUGUUACUAUCCUUUGUUUCUUGAACAUUGAUUAUCGUAUUAUUUUGUUGUACUGUUCAAAAUGCUUUGUUAUGCUUUCACUUUAGCUUAUUCUCUUUCUGGACUGCUUUGCACUGUUUUCUUGAGUCUAUUGGAAACAACCUUUGUAUCCUAAUAUAGGAGUCAGGACAAGGUUUGCCGGCACUCUACCCUCCUAGAUCUCACUUUUUUAUAUUGUACGAACCAGUGUAGAAACGACGUUCUAUGAUGAAUUGCACCGGAUCACACACCUCAAGAUCUCUCCGGCGCUAAGCAUGUUGACAACUUUAAUUUCUAGGCCAUCCUUUAGACGAGGAAUAUACAUGAACACCAUGGAGGUUAGGAAAACAGGAACAGUAAAGACUAGACUCCAGAGAAAGGACUGAUGAUACUGUUCAAUUUCAUCUCUUAUCCAGGAUACUUUCCCUUCAGGAAAUGUCACUCCCGUGAAUUGUCCUGAACUAGUUGACUCAACUGCUUGAAUAAAUUUUUGAGGUCCUGUGACGUCUGAUCGGUAAGAAAGGGGAUAUCUUCUUCUGCUUUGUAGCAAUAUCAGGGUCUUCAACUCCUGCAAGUGCUCUAAUAGAAGUUUCAAUAAUCCUCAUGAAAUUGUCAGUGAGUGCUCCAUCAAAUCUCUCGCUUAAGUGUAACCAGAACAUCAAAUCCAUAACCAAUUUCUUUUUUCGAUACUUGGGAAAUCCUCCAAGUCCAGCGAUGCACGUUCCGAAACUCAUUGAAUAAUAUGAGUGUCAUCUACUCCUCUCCUUUUUUAAUAGCAUGCUUUUUUCUGUAGCGGGGUUCAAAUUUGUGAUGUGUCGAACCCACAAAUCAUGAGCUACACUCUUAUAACUAGAUCAAAGGCCUAGGGGAAAGCUAUAACCAACUAGUUGGUAUCACUCAUAAGGGUUUUUGCUUUCACCAUGUUCUAAGCUUAGCUAAAUCUGCAUGGAUUUCUAGAGGUUGUACGACUAACUAAAUAAAAGUACAGAAAACCAAAAAAUGACUUGGUCCUUCAUGUUCUAUUAGUCUCAUCUUAUUUAUACCUAGUUGGUAUUUUUUAUAUCUCAGGACUCAGAUUCUGGAAGAGCACUCACGUGUUUUUUUAGUACUUCACAUUUAUGUGUUACAUAGCUAACUUCUGAGUAGAAUAAGUUGUUUUUCCUUCUUCUGAUUUCUACUAUUUCAAAAAUCACAAUGUAUGUGUGGAGUUGAUUUAUUCUUCUUAAAAGUUUAUACUAAUCACUUUGAAUUUUGGCCACCUUCAUGUUGAAUGAGUCAUUGUCUACUUUUCAUCCUUUUUCGAGGCUUGCAUACUAACUUAUAAUUGAUAUUUCACAGGUGUGAAUCUAUCCUUCAGGCUGGCUACAAUUGUACAGCACGGAUUGAGAAGAACAAAAGAAAGGCACGAAUGAAACGCAAGACAUCCGGUAUUCCCCCGAAGAACUCAGUUGUAUAUGAGUGUCAUUUCUGCUCACAUCGGAAUCUAAAGAGAGGAACCCCAAGAGGCUAUAUGAAAAGCCUAAAUCCUGCUAAACCAAAAACUUUAACAGUUGACCCUGCUAAAUCAGCAACCCGAAAGGCAAAAGUUGAUCCUACUGAAUCAGCAAUGCAAAGAUCUGAACAUUUGCGCACGUUAGUGGCCAGUAUCUAUAAGGCAAAAGUUGAUCCUAUUGAAUCAGCAAUGCAUAAGUCUGAACAUUUGGAUACAUCAGUGGCUAGUACUGAUAAGGCAAGAGUUGAUCCUACUGAAUCAGCAAUGCUGAACAUUUGGAUACGUCAGUGGCUAGGAUCGAUAAGACAAGAGUUAACACUACUGAAUCAGCAACCCAAAAGUCUGAACAGUUCGAUGUUUUAGGGGGCAGUACCACAGAUGUAAUUGUUUCAUCUGAACUAGUUGGAGAUGAUCCUAUGGCUGGUCCUGCAACUCCAUUGUCAACAGUUACGGUUACUUCUCUGUUGGAUUCGAAGAAGAGGAAAAGAAAUAGAACAGGGUCCAAGAAGAAAGCUGAACCUCAGGAUGGUUCAUCCAUGACAGAUGCUGAGAAGACUGUCUCAACAUCCAGUAAGAGAAAGAAGAAGUCUUGGACUAGUUUGAAGGAAAUUGCUGAAAGUCAGAGUAGCAAUAGUAGGAAGUUCUCCAAUAUAUCUGUUCCAUUUAUUCUUUGAUUGUGAGAAUUGUAUUUUGCCUGUAGAGCACCCCCUUUUUUGGGGGUUUUCACGCCCGGUGUCCGGAGCUCAUAUUGGCGUGCUCUGACUAAAUUCGAAUCACGCACUGCAGGGUCCAUUGGGAGUGACACUCCCUAACAUAUUUUCUCUCGUAAGUUGUAACAGUAGUUACUGUCCAAUAUUAUAUGAGUAUUUAGUGUACUUUGACAAUUGUUUAGUUUCUUUUUGAUUUAUAAUUUUUUUUGGAAAGUUCUUGGUUGUUUAACUAAAUGUUCGUCUUUCUACUAUAUUAGAAGCAUGGGUAACAACAUGGUAUCAACAUGUCUGUUUAUUGUCAUUUUUUAAUUUGUCAAGGGAAUUUUCGUCAUUUCAAUCAUAUCCUUGCUUCCAUCUUUACUCCACGUGGUAAUGUAGUCAUGGCUUUACUGGGCGUGGCAUUCAUGCCUGCUUCUACCAGCUCCAUCUCAGUGCUCUCAUGAGUCUCAUCUAUCCACUGAUCA
rnacentral:lncRNA from 1 species